UACGAAGGGGGCUAGCGUUGCUCGGAAUCACUGGGCGUAAAGCGCACGUAGGCGGCUUACUAAGUCAGGGGUGAAAUCCUGGAGCUCAACUCCAGAACUGCCUUUGAUACUGGUGAGCUUGAGUCCGGAAGAGGUGAGUGGAACUGCGAGUGUAGAGGUGAAAUUCGUAGAUAUUCGCAGGAACACCAGUGGCGAAGGCGGCUCACUGGUCCGGUACUGACGCUGAGGUGCGAAAGCGUGGGGAGCAAACAGG
rnacentral:rRNA from 1 species